rnacentral:rRNA from 1 species
UUAAAGAGAGUUUGAUCCUGGCUCAGGACGAACGCUGGCGGCGUGCCUAAUACAUGCAAGUCGAACGAACCGACGAAAAGCUUGCUUUUCUGACGUGAGUGGCGGACGGGUGAGUAACACGUGGGC